UCGAGCGGCGAACGGGUGAGUAACGCGUGGAUGACCUGCCCUUUAGUGGGGAACAACCAGGGGAAACUCUGGCUAAUACCGCAUAAGACCGAAAGGUGAAAGGGGCCCGCAAGGGUCUCGCUGAAGGAGGGGUCCGCGUCCGAUUAGCUAGUUGGUGGGGUAAUGGCCUACCAAGGCGACGAUCGGUAGCCGGCCUGAGAGGGUGAUCGGCCACACUGGAACUGAGACACGGUCCAGACUCCUACGGGAGGCAGCAGUGGGGAAUUUUGCGCAAUGGGGGGAACCCUGACGCAGCAACGCCGCGUGGAGGAUGAAGGUCCUUGGAUUGUAAACUCCUGUCAGCGGGGAAAAAGCAACCGUACCUCAUACGUACGGGAGUUGAUUGUACCCGCAGAGGAAGCCCCGGCUAACUCUGUGCCAGCAGCCGCGGUAAUACAGAGGGGGCAAGCGUUAUUCGGAAUUAUUGGGCGUAAAGGGCGCGUAGGCGGCUUGGCAAGUGGAAGGUGAAAUCCCUCGGCUCAACUGAGGAACUGCCCUCCAAACUGCUUUGCUUGAGGCCGGGAGAGGCGAGUGGAAUUCCCAGUGUAGCGGUGAAAUGCGUAGAUAUUGGGAGGAACACCAGUGGCGAAGGCGGCUCGCUGGACCGGUUCUGACGCUGAUGCGCGAAAGCGUGGGGAGCAAACGGGAUUAGAUACCCCGGUAGUCCACGCCGUAAACGAUGAGUGCUUGGUGUAGCGGGUAUCGACCCCUGCUGUGCCGAAGUCAACACAUUAAGCACU
rnacentral:rRNA from 1 species